CUAAGGUGGGAUAGAUGAUUGGGGUGAAGUCGUAACAAGGUAGCCGUAUCGGAAGGUGCGGCUGGAUCACCUCCUUUCUAAGGAAAAACGGAAUGUACUUGAGUUUCUUAUUUAGUUUUGAGAGGUCUUGUGGGGCCUUAGCUCAGCUGGGAGAGCGCCUGCUUUGCACGCAGGAGGUCAGCGGUUCGAUCCCGCUAGGCUCCAUUGAAUCGAAAGAUUCAAGUAUUGUCCAUUGAAAAUUGAAUAUCUAUAUCAAAUUCCAUAUGUAAGUAAUUACAUAUAGAUAGUAACAAGAAAAUAAACCGAAACGCUGUGAAUAUUUAAUGAGUUAGGUCGAAAGGCCAAAAUAA
rnacentral:misc_RNA from 1 species